CCCAAGCUCCAACCAAUCAACAACCCUCUGCCUCUCCAACUGCUGAGCCUGUUCAGACUGACAACACAAGUCAAGGAGCUGAGGGGAACAUGGAGGACGUCCACCAGAGGUCCAUAGAUGUGAAAGUCCUACUGAUUCCUUGGGGCAUGUUGGUGGUGGUGACAGCUGGUAUCCUAGUCACAUGGAAGAUGUGGACAAAGCAUAAGGACAAUAAGGCCAAGGACCAGACAACUAACAACUCAGUGG